rfam:Streptomyces glaucescens strain GLA.O, complete genome.
GGCCAAGUUUUUAAGGGCGCACGGUGGAUGCCUUGGCACCAGGAACCGAUGAAGGACGUGGGAGGCCGCGAUAGUCCCCGGGGAGUCGUCAACCAGGCUUUGAUCCGGGGGUUUCCGAAUGGGGAAACCCGGCAGUCGUCAUGGGCUGUCACCCGCUGCUGAACACAUAGGCAGUGUGGAGGGAACGCGGGGAAGUGAAACAUCUCAGUACCCGCAGGAAGAGAAAACAACCGUGAUUCCGGGAGUAGUGGCGAGCGAAACCGGAUGAGGCCAAACCGUAUGCGUGUGAGACCCGGCAGGGGUUGCGCAUGCGGGGUUGUGGGAUCUCUCUUCCACGGUCUGCCGGCCGUGGGACGAGUCAGAAACCGUUGAUGUAGGCGAAGGACAUGCGAAAGGUCCGGCGUAGAGGGUAAGACCCCCGUAGUCGAAACGUCAGCGGCUCGUUUGAGAGACACCCAAGUAGCACGGGGCCCGAGAAAUCCCGUGUGAAUCUGGCGGGACCACCCGCUAAGCCUAAAUAUUCCCUGGUGACCGAUAGCGGAUAGUACCGUGAGGGAAUGGUGAAAAGUACCCCGGGAGGGGAGUGAAAUAGUACCUGAAACCGUGUGCCUACAAGCCGUGGGAGCGUCGGACAUCAGCUUGCUGGUGUCUCGUGACUGCGUGCCUUUUGAAGAAUGAGCCUGCGAGUUUGCGGUGUGUUGCGAGGUUAACCCGUGUGGGGAAGCCGUAGCGAAAGCGAGUCCGAAUAGGGCGGUGGAGUAGCACGCUCAAGACCCGAAGCGGAGUGAUCUAGCCAUGGGCAGGUUGAAGCGGAGGUAAGACUUCGUGGAGGACCGAACCCACCAGGGUUGAAAACCUGGGGGAUGACCUGUGGUUAGGGGUGAAAGGCCAAUCAAACUCCGUGAUAGCUGGUUCUCCCCGAAAUGCAUUUAGGUGCAGCGUCGUGUGUUUCUUGCCGGAGGUAGAGCACUGGAUAGGCGAUGGGCCCUACCGGGUUACUGACCUUAGCCAAACUCCGAAUGCCGGUAAGUGAGAGCGCGGCAGUGAGACUGUGGGGGAUAAGCUCCAUGGUCGAGAGGGAAACAGCCCAGAGCAUCGACUAAGGCCCCUAAGCGUACGCUAAGUGGGAAAGGAUGUGGAGUCGCACAGACAACCAGGAGGUUGGCUUAGAAGCAGCCACCCUUGAAAGAGUGCGUAAUAGCUCACUGGUCUAGUGAUUCCGCGCCGACAAUGUAGCGGGGCUCAAGCGUACCGCCGAAGUCGUGUCAUUGCGAUAUGUACCCCCAACGGGGAUCGUGAUGGGUAGGGGAGCGUCGUCUGCCGGGUGAAGCAGCACCGGAAGGUAGUUGUGGACGGUUGACGAGUGAGAAUGCAGGCAUGAGUAGCGAUACAAACGUGAGAAACGUUUGCGCCGAUUGACUAAGGGUUCCUGGGUCAAGCUGAUCUGCCCAGGGUAAGUCGGGACCUAAGGCGAGGCCGACAGGCGUAGUCGAUGGAUAACCGGUUGAUAUUCCGGUACCCGCUGUGGAGCGUCAAACAUCGAAUCCAGUGAUGCUAAGCCCGUGAAGCCGCCCUUGAUCUCUUCGGAGUGAUGGGGAGUGGUGGAGCCGGUGACCCGAGCUGGUAGUAGGUGAGUGAUGGGGUGACGCAGGAAGGUAGUCCAUCCCGGGCGGUGGUUGUCCCGGGGUAAGGGUGUAGCCCGAGUGGUAGGCAAAUCCGCCACUCAUCAAGGGUGAGACCUGAUGCCGAGCCGAUUGUGGUGAAGUGGAUGAUCCUAUGCUGUCGAGAAAAGCCUCUAGCGAGUUUCAUGGCGGCCCGUACCCUAAACCGACUCAGGUGGUCAGGUAGAGAAUACCGAGGCGUUCGGGUGAACUAUGGUUAAGGAACUCGGCAAAAUGCCCCCGUAACUUCGGGAGAAGGGGGGCCACACCCGGUGAUGGGUUUUACACCUUGAGCUGGGGGUGGCCGCAGAGACCAGCGAGAAGCGACUGUUUACUAAAAACACAGGUCCGUGCGAAGCCGUAAGGCGAUGUAUACGGACUGACGCCUGCCCGGUGCUGGAACGUUAAGGGGACCGGUUAGCUUGGAUUCGUCCGGGCGAAGCUGAGAACUUAAGCGCCAGUAAACGGCGGUGGUAACUAUAACCAUCCUAAGGUAGCGAAAUUCCUUGUCGGGUAAGUUCCGACCUGCACGAAUGGCGUAACGACUUCUCGACUGUCUCAACCAUAGGCCCGGUGAAAUUGCACUACGAGUAAAGAUGCUCGUUUCGCGCAGCAGGACGGAAAGACCCCGGGACCUUUACUACAGUUUGAUAUUGGUGUUCGGUUCGGCUUGUGUAGGAUAGCUGGGAGACUGUGAAGCUUGGACGCCAGUUCAGGUGGAGUCGUCGUUGAAAUACCAGUCUGGUCGUGCUGGAUGUCUAACCUGGGUCCGUGAUCCGGAUCAGGGACAGUGUCUGAUGGGUAGUUUAACUGGGGCGGUUGCCUCCUAAAGGGUAACGGAGGCGCCCAAAGGUUCCCUCAGCCUGGUUGGCAAUCAGGUGUUGAGUGUAAGUGCACAAGGGAGCUUGACUGUGAGACCGACGGGUCGAGCAGGGACGAAAGUCGGGACUAGUGAUCCGGCGGUGGCUUGUGGAAGCGCCGUCGCUCAACGGAUAAAAGGUACCCCGGGGAUAACAGGCUGAUCUUCCCCAAGAGUCCAUAUCGACGGGAUGGUUUGGCACCUCGAUGUCGGCUCGUCGCAUCCUGGGGCUGGAGUCGGUCCCAAGGGUUGGGCUGUUCGCCCAUUAAAGCGGUACGCGAGCUGGGUUUAGAACGUCGUGAGACAGUUCGGUCCCUAUCCGCUGUGCGCGUAGGAGUCUUGAGAAGGGCUGUCCCUAGUACGAGAGGACCGGGACGGACGAACCUCUGGUGUGCCAGUUGUUCUGCCAAGGGCAUGGCUGGUUGGCUACGUUCGGGAGGGAUAACCGCUGAAAGCAUCUAAGCGGGAAGCCUGCUUCGAGAUGAGGACUCCCACCCACUUGAUGGGGUAAGGCUCCCAGUAGACGACUGGGUUGAUAGGCCGGAUAUGGAAGCACGGUAACGUGUGGAGUUGACCGGUACUAAUAGGCCGAGGGCUUGUCCUC